GAGUUUGAUCCUGGCUCAGGAUGAACGCUAGCGGCAGGCUUAACACAUGCAAGUCGAGGGGUAGAGUUAGCUUGCUAACUUGAGACCGGCGCACGGGUGCGUAACGCGUAUGCAAUCUACCUUGUACAGAGGGAUAGCCCAGAGAAAUUUGGAUUAAUACCUCAUAGUGUAACGAAAAGGCAUCUUUUUGUUACUAAAGUUCCAACGGUACAAGAUGAGCAUGCGUCCCAUUAGCUAGAUGGUAAGGUAACGGCUUACCAUGGCAACGAUGGGUAGGGGUCCUGAGAGGGAGAUCCCCCACACUGGUACUGAGACACGGACCAGACUCCUACGGGAGGCAGCAGUGAGGAAUAUUGGUCAAUGGGCGCAAGCCUGAACCCAGCCAUGCCGCGUGCAGGAUGACGGUCCUAUGGAUUGUAAACUGCUUUUGUACAGGAAGAAACACUCCCUCGUGAGGGAACUUGACGGUACUGUAAGAAUAAGGAUCGGCUAACUCCGUGCCAGCCGCCGCGGU
rnacentral:rRNA from 1 species